rnacentral:rRNA from 1 species
CCUACGGGAGGCAGCAGUGGGGAAUAUUGGACAAUGGGCGAAAGCCUGAUCCAGCCAUGCCGCGUGUGUGAAGAAGGCCUUCGGGUUGUAAAGCACUUUCAGUGGGGAAGAAAGCCUUGGGGCUAAUACCCUCGAGGAAGGACAUCACCCACAGAAGAAGCACCGGCUAACUCCGUGCCAGCAGCCGCGGUAAUACGGAGGGUGCGAGCGUUAAUCGGAAUUACUGGGCGUAAAGCGCGCGUAGGCGGUCUGAUAAGCCGGUUGUGAAAGCCCCGGGCUCAACCUGGGAACGGCAUCCGGAACUGUCAGGCUAGAGUGCAGGAGAGGAAGGUAGAAUUCCCGGUGUAGCAGUGAAAUGCGUAGAGAUCGGGAGGAAUACCAGUGGCGAAGGCGGCCUUCUGGACUGACACUGACGCUGAGGUGCGAAAGCGUGGGUAGCAAACAGGAUUAGAUACCCGGGUAGUC